rnacentral:tRNA from 1 species
CUAUGAAUAGCUUAAAAAAAGCGUCAAACUCUUAAUUUGAUGAUGAACAUUAGUUCUUUAUAGA